UUGAAAAAACUCCAGUUUUCGUCCGAUCACCGAAGCUAAGCAACGUUGAGCCCGGUCAGUAGCUAGAUGGGUGACCGCUUGGGAAUACCAGGUGCUGUAAG